AUGCAGAUCACGCCCCUCGCCACGUGCCCCAUGUAUGCGGCCACAUGUCCGAGACUCGCUCCACCGCCUUCGUCCACACUCUCACCCACAUCGCAUCUUAUAUACCACGAUCCAUCUCGGCGAGAAACCCACCGCGCAUUUGGCUAUCGCAUUUCUCAGGUGAGGCUCAGGUUCCGGAGUAGCGAAGCUUCAAGUGCGCAUCUGGGUACCGGCAUGGCUGGAGAGCAGGCGUUCCACCGGGGAGGCGUGCACGGAGGCGGCAGCGCCAUCGGGCCGGACUACAUGCGGGCCAUCCGCGGCGACGACGACUACUACGGCGGGCACGGCCAGGGCCACAGCCAGCCGGCGGCCGUCACCCUCGCGAAGGGGGUGGCCGCGGCGGCGGCGGCGGGGUCGAUGCUGCUCCUGUCGGCCCUGACGCUGACGGGCACGGUGCUGGCGCUGAUCGUGGCGACGCCGCUGCUGGUGCUCUUCAGCCCCGUGCUGGUGCCCGCGGCCAUCGCCGCCACGGUGCUGACGGCCGGGUUCGUCUCGUCGGGGGCGUUCGGCGCGGCGGCGGUGGGGGUGCUGGCGUGGAUGUACAAGUACCUGUCGCACGGGGCGUCCUCGCCGCCGGGGGCCGACACGGUGGACCACGCGGGCGCGAAGCUGGACUCCAAGGCGCACGAGGUGAAGAACUGGGCGCAGCAUCGCCUCGACCAGGCACGAACGCCGUAG
rnacentral:rRNA from 1 species